rnacentral:rRNA from 1 species
UGGGGAAUAUUGGACAAUGGGCGCAAGCCUGAUCCAGCCAUGCCGCGUGAGUGAUGAAGGCCUUAGGGUUGUAAAGCUCUUUCACCGAUGAAGAUAAUGACGGUAGUCGGAGAAGAAGCCCCGGCUAACUUCGUGCCAGCAGCCGCGGUAAUACGAAGGGGGCUAGCGUUGUUCGGAAUUACUGGGCGUAAAGCGCACGUAGGCGGAUAUUUAAGUCAGGGGUGAAAUCCCGCAGCUCAACUGCGGAACUGCCUUUGAUACUGGGUAUCUUGAGUAUGGAAGAGGUUAGUGGAAUUGCGAGUGUAGAGGUGAAAUUCGUAGAUAUUCGCAGGAACACCAGUGGCGAAGGCGGCUAACUGGUCCAUAACUGACGCUGAGGUGCGAAAGCGUGGGGAGCAAAACAGGAUUAGAUACCCUGGUAGUCCACGCCGUAAAACGAUGAAUGUUAGCCGUCGGCAAGUUUACUUGUCGGUGGCGCAGCUAACGCAUUAAACAUUCCGCCUGGGGAGUACGGUCGCAAGAUUAAAACUCAAAUGAAUUGACGGGGUCAUAGCUGUUUCCU